AUUGAACGCUGGCUGCAGGCCUAACACAUGCAAGUCGAACGAGUGGCGGACGGGUGAGCAAUGUCUGGGAAACUGCCUGAUGGAGGGGGAUAACUACCGGAAACGGUAGCUAAUACCGCAUACCAUCAGAUGUGCCCAGAUGGGUUUAGCUAGUUGGUGGGGUAACGGCUCACCAAGCCGACGAUCCCUAGCUGGUCUGAGAGGAUGGCCAGCCACACUGGAAUUGAGCCGCGGUCCGGACUCCUCCGGGAGGCAGCAGUGGAGAAUAGUGCACAAUGGGAGGAGGCCUGAUGCAGACAUGCCGCGUGUAUGAAGAAGGCCUGCGGGUUGUAAAGUACUUUCAUCGGGGAGGCGUUACCAGCAGAAGAAGCACCGGCUAACUCCGUGCCAGCAGCCGCGGUAAUAC
rnacentral:rRNA from 1 species